ACUCCUACGGGAGGCAGCAGUGGGGAAUAUUGCACAAUGGGCGCAAGCCUGAUGCAGCAACGCCGUGUGAGUGAAGAAGGUUUUCGGAUCGUAAAACUCUGUCCUAAGGGAAGAACAAAUGACGGUACCUUAGGAGGAAGCCCCGGCUAACUACGUGCCAGCAGCCGCGGUAAUACGGAGGGUGCGAGCGUUAAUCGGAAUUACUGGGCGUAAAGCGCAUGCAGGUGGUUUGUUAAGUCAGAUGUGAAAGCCCGGGGCUCAACCUCGGAACUGCAUUUGAAACUGGCAGACUAGAGUACUGUAGAGGGGGGUAGAAUUUCAGGUGUAGCGGUGAAAUGCGUAGAGAUCUGAAGGAAUACCGGUGGCGAAGGCGGCCCCCUGGACAGAUACUGACACUCAGAUGCGAAAGCGUGGGGAGCAAACAGGAUUAGAUACCCUGGUAGCACAGAG
rnacentral:rRNA from 1 species